rnacentral:rRNA from 1 species
UACGGAGGGUGCAAACGUUGCUCGGAAUCAUUGGGCGUAAAGCGCACGUAGGCGGUCCGGCAAGUCGGGUGUGAAGGCCCUCGGCUUAACCGAGGAAGUGCAUUCGAAACUACCGGACUUGAAUACUGGAGAGGGUUGCGGAAUUCCCGGUGUAGAGGUGAAAUUCGUAGAUAUUCGCAAGAACACCAGUGGCGAAGGCGGCUCACUGGUCCGGUACUGACGCUGAGGUGCGAAAGCGUGGGGAGCAAACAGG